AAAUGUUCAUGCAAAUCUCACUUACACCUCACUGCUCUCUCUUUCGAUUGUGUUCUGAUCGUCGUCUGACAGUUAUUCUGAAAUAAUAACCUUAAUUCUAACCUUGUUCUGAAUUAAUAAUCACACAGCAGGUCUUCAACACUACUACUGAAAACCUGUCUGUAACUUUAUAAGGAAUCAGAUUUACACUUAAUUCAUGUCAUUUAGUCUGAGACAGAACAGCAGCAGUAGGAGGAGGACAAUCCUACAGAGUACAGAGGAUUCAUAACUUUGUGAGAUUUUACCAGAACAGAUUAAACAAGUCCUGGAUCCAGCUGCAAUCAUGAAUCUGGUCUUUUAUGAAUUUCCAGCUGUUUAGCAGCUGCCUGAUUUCAGCAUUGAAUGUAUUUAAGGUGUCACACUGCACCCUGGUGGUUAAGAUUCAUGUAAAUCUAGACAUGUUUUUAACUUAAUCUACAACCAACACAACUCCCAUGAUCCUCAGUGUGUAACUUCAUCACAUGAUCUCCAGUCAAGCUGUUCACAUUUACCUGAUUACUAAUGACACUCAGCUGUUUGUACUCACUCUACUCCCUUUAAAUAAACAUAGGAUGUACCACAAAGCAGGAUUUCAGGGUUAAACUCAUAACCCAGAGUGAAACAAUACAGCUUUUAGGCUUGGCAGGUCACCAUGGCAACAUACUGUACACAGCUAACCUGUGGGGUAUUCCAGAAAGUUUGGUUAACUUACCAUUUGAUAAAUCAUAACCUCUGGGUUGAUUUACCCCAAACAGGCACACCAUGAGUAUGUCGGGUCCAAAACACCUGAGAAGAGUUAGUUUAAUCAACCUCCAACUGGUUACCCAGAGUUUAUGCGCGUGCACGGUGCAUAUAUAAAGACAUUUUCAAAGGAUCGCCGAUUUCACGAGUCACCAUGGAAACUCAAAGCGAUAAAAAGAGAGCGGCGUAUUUCACAGAGGCGGAGUUGGAGGUUUUAAUGCACGCUUAUGAGGAAUAUAAGCCAAUAAUAUUAAAAAGAAGCGAUACAGCUGCAUCGGCUAAAGCAAGAGAGUUGGCUUGGCAAAAUAUAACGGACAGAGUAAAUGCGUGAGUGUAUUAAAUUACAAAUUUGGUAUUGGCUCCUGUUUUAUUAUAAUGCAAAAUAAUGAAGUAUGACUUAUACAUCCUUUUGAAUAUAUCACUAUGAAAGCAUUUACUUUUCCUGCCAUUUAUUUCUUCAGUUUAAAAUAAUAAUGUAUAUUUCUUAUUUAAUAAGGUGUAAUCCUUCAGGAGCCACAAGAACUUUAAGCCAAGUCAAAAUGAAACAAAAACAUUCUGCAAAAAGGUAAUAUUUGAUUACACAAUUACCGAACUAUUAUUAUAACAGGAUUUAGUAUAUUCAUUGUCAUGUAGCUAAUGGAAAGAAGACUGAAGCCCGUCUAACUGGCGGGGGCCCACCACCACCUCCCCUCACCCCAUCUGAGGAGCUGGCUCUGUCCCUUAUUAAAGGGCGACCAGUUGUUGCUGGCCUUCCAGGGGGCAGUUCCUCGCACACACCAUGCACCACAAGUGAUGGUGAAAAAAUGGUGAAAUGUAAGUUUACCUCUAUGAUUUGUUUUAAUUUUUUUCUCCUAAUAAAUUACUAUCUCUGUCACUUAAAGGCUUUUUAAACAAGAUUAAUUUUUACGUAGGCUUAUUUUAUUUAACUGCAUAUGAUGUAUAGGCUACUGUGAUCUUAGUCUGACAUGUUACUCUUUUCAUGUAUUAUUUUCUUUGUUAAUAUUGAGAAUUUAAUGGGUUGUGUUUUCUUAUAGAAACUGAUGGACAGAUUGUAUUAUUGGACCCUCCAGAAAGAACACAGUCUGUCACAGUUGAUGAAGAUGACGAUGAAGAGACUACAUCUGCUGUGACAGAAGUGGACAAUGCUGGUAGAUCCACUGAGUACAUACCUAGAGAUUUGCCCACAGAUGAGGGACCUUCAACCUCAGCACACAAUCUAAGCAGGUUGCCAGCAAAGGAGCUGUAUAAGGUCCAUCUGCAAAAACGAAUAAGAAAAAGUGACAUGGAGAUGGACCUUAUACAGCUUCAAAUGGAAGAGAAAAGGCUCCGCAUUAAAAAGCAGCACUUGAAAUUGAAUUACUGGAGCAUCGCAUUAAGGUGUUCCUCUGGGCCAUCUUCCUCAAUACAAGGAGGGUGGCUCUCUCCUCUUGUGAAGCACAACACAAGCCACUAAAAUGUCGCAUGCCCUCUCUGGACUAACCCGAAGCCCACGCAGACACUGAAACUGAGAUUUGAGGAUCCCUAUAGUCAUCUCCACCUUGGCCCGUGUUCGGCUGUGAGCCAGGUUAAACCGUGUCUGUGGUCCAGGCUCAGGUUCAGGGUAGGGUGUCAUUAAAUAGGUCAGACAAGGGUAUCCUCUGUCCCCCAGCAAGUAACCAUUGUACUGUCUUGUAAUGAUUGAAGUGUACAACACAAAUAGAAUGUAAAAAGGAAAAAAAAACAAUUGUAUAAACAAAACAUACCCUGCUGAAAUGUCUGGCAUAAUGAUGACUCGCGGAAAAUUCUGGCAUCAUGCACAGAUCCUGGCCAUUUUGCCUAGACAUUGGUAAUGAUUUGGGUUGCCUCACAUAUUACCUAGUGUCAGGACUCAACCCGGACUUUUGGCCACGUGUCUUUUUGUUUAUCUUCCUCAUCACGUGUCUGCCCCGCCUUCGUCUGCC